AACUAAUAAUUUCGCAAGUUUCGGCCUUGUUAUAGCACUAGCAUUAGUUA
rnacentral:tRNA from 1 species